UCUGGUGACUUUGGGAGUAUUUAUUUAUUUAUAUGAUCAUAUAAUGAAACAAACAUUAACAUAAGCAUGUGCUGCACAGCAUUUCAUUAGUUUAAUUUUACAUUUUAAUUUACUGUAAAGCGCUUUGCUAAAUUUUGCUACGUAAACUUUUUUAGGUAUUAAAACUGGUUACUGUUUGAUUGAUGACAAACUCCAUAUUUUUAUACCUUGGAGCUCCGUGUUACCAUGGUAAUUUAUAAACAAUUACUAACAUUAACUUCAUCAAUGCACGUUUACAUUUUAUUUGAUACUUGACCAGUGUUACGUCCUCAGUUGUAUUUCUGUUUGUACUAUGUUCCAUUCGUGUGUCUAUGUCGGGGGAGGGAUGGGUGUCUUGUCUCCUCCUCUUUUAAGCCCAGUCUACUGCGGUGCGUCAUGUUCCUGCUUGCCAUUGGACGAUCACAUCUCGUACACGCCUGCUCCCGCCUUUGGGAUGAGUUGUCUGUACAUUUCCGGACGUGUACUUAAGCCUCGUCAGUCUCCAUCCCCGGGGCAGAUCGUUCAAUGAUUCAGCUCCCAAACUGCUGGAAAUGUGGGACGGGUUCUAACUCUUCACCAAGACUGCUUUAUCCUGGAGAAGAGGUUUGAGGUGAGACUUCCAUCAUACGCCAGUCCUGGUGAGUGUAUUAU
ensembl:lncRNA